CAAGUUUCCUAACGUUUUUGAUGGUAAAUAAAAACAAUAAACAUUCGAUCCAAAUACUCGCCGAUUGUUUGGACCGAUUGCAUUGAAUCGAACAUUCACUUCACCGUGUAGCAGCACAUUCGUCACAACAUUUGUCAAUUCAUAGAGUCAAAUGUUUGAGUCCAACAUUCGAGUAAAACGUUGGACGAAUCGUGUAGCCCGCAUAACAUUCCAAGAGAUCUGCACCGUGUGCUGUUUUCUUCGAUUUAUUCAGAUGAAUCUGAAUCUCAAAUCUUAUUCGAUGCUGUGUUUGAGGAUAAACAUUCCACAUCCUUAGCUGAUUAUUUGAGUUUGAAAUCGUUUCACCUUUAGCCCUAGAACGCGCCUGUGGGGCAAAUAAAGCAACGCUAAUCUUAUAAGUCAUUUUUCAAGGAAUACAUCAACCGUGUUCAGUAUACAAACUCAGGCAAGGAUGGUCCGUUUGUCGCCCGGUUGUCUUCAGAUUCUCCUGCAUCCAGCACAGAGAAGGACGAACGAACAGAUAAGAUGUCAACGAGAAGUUCUUUGUUUUAAUUUUCUUGUCACGAGAAAGUUGCACGGGAGGAAAUUUCGCGCACUUUACCAUUGUACGAAUGUGUGACAGAACAAGGAAGCAAAUCGGAUCUAUACGCGGGACCUAAGGGUCCUGCAGAAGUAACAGUAGUGGUGAUAGUGGAGAGGAAAAUUGUCACAAGUUGGUCAUAUUGCUGGCGGACACGGAAGAAUAAACUUCUUCUGAAACAUCACCACAAUGGGGACGAUUUCUGCGAUGGGAUGAAUUGGACGAUAAUUCAAUUUAGACUAUGUGGAUUCAGUUGUAUUGGUUGGGUAAUUAACGAUUGGAAGUGAAUUAAUUUGUAGAAUAACAAACGAUGAAAAGCUAGUUUGUUCGAGAAUAAAUUGUGUUAUUCCUCACUCUUCAU